UUCUAACAUCACUCAAUCAUGAUAUAGUUUUUUUUAAAGAAAGAUAAUAAAAUUAUAUUAAAGAAAAAAAGACAAUUCUUAUCAGAUAUAAACAAUAGGUCUUAAACGUAAAUUAGAACAAGUUCUUUUUUAUUAAAAAAAAGUAUAUCUAUUGAAUAUAACUAUAGUAAUAUUACUUAUAUUACAUAACAGGCAGAGAGGAUCCGAUUUUCCCCCCAAAAGAUGUACAUAUAGUUACAUGAUUAUUAUACACUUUAAUAGAACUAGAGACUCCAAUGAAAUAAGUCAGACAGUUAGGCUUCUAGUUGUUAUUCAUUCCUUUUUUAAAAUAAGUAAGAUUUAAUGAAAGCUUUUCCCAUAGCAAGAGCAUAUACUCUAGCGUGCACUUUGGAAUGCUGAUUAUAUAUCCCUGCAGUCAAUACACUGAAUGUUGAUUUCAUUUUCUCAAUUCAAGAAACCUUUCUUUUUGAGUGGUGAGAAAUAAAAAUUUACCUUUCUCCUUUGCCCCUCUUUUAUUAUUUUGAAUGGAGUCUUGCUUCUUACUUUGUAAAAUUAAAUGCUACUCACACUUUAAUGCAUAGUGUGAUUGUCAUUCUUUGCCAAUGAAAGACAUUUUGAUGCAAUUGAAGAAAGAAAUGAUGUAUCCACAAAAUCGGAAGCUAGCUCAGCCACCUGAAGGUAAAUAAUUCAAUUAAUACAACUCAACAUAUUAUAUUGGUAGAGACAUACACUGUCACAUGUUUGCAGGCGUACACAAAUGCUCAUAGGAUAAAUUUGUAUCUUCAAAUGACUGAUAAGGUUAGUAUCAUUGAAUUAAUCUUUGAAUCGAUAUUUUAGUCUACAUAACUUCACUUCCAAUGCUUGGUAUGAAACUCUGCUGCCAUGUGCAGGCUCCUCUAUUUAAAUCCUUGUGUGCCCACAAAUUAUUGUCGACAUUGAAUUAUUACUGUGAUCCGUUGUUCCAUUCAAUUCAAUUCACUAAAAUUUGUCUUUCUCAUUUCUAUUCUUGAUUCCUAACGAGGUAGUUUAUAUAGAUUAUCAACUUGUAGCUUAUUUUUGUAUCUUCCAUUUUUCUCCCUACUGUUUGAAUACACUACAUUUUUUACCCUCUCUUAAUCAUUUUUACAUUACUCUCUAACUAUCUUAGUUUUUAAUACACUUCAUAAUCUUUAGUUUGUUAGUUGUUUUGUGUUGACUAACCUUUCUUUGUCAUUCUGCAGGAGAAUAUCAUUGUCCAAUGCUAAACAAAGUUUUUACUGAAUUUACACAUUGUGGCAGUGAAGACCACAGGAAACGUAUUAUGCUAUGAGCUGUGGGAACUUGCUUUGCCUAACAUUGGUUCGAUUCACAAGCGUGCUAAUCUGUCCAAGAAAUUAUCUGUUCUUUCUCCGGAGGAGUUAAGAGAUUUUGUUUCCUGUAAGGCCUUCUAACAUAUAAGGCAGAUAGUACAAGAAUCAAGUGGAGAAAUUCAGUAUGGUGGUGAACGCUAGCCUUCUGUUUUAAGAACGUUUAGCUAGAGACUUUGCAGGUAAGGCAGGCUUUAAUGUCCUUGGUAGUUCAAUUUUAAUUUUUGUUUAGCAAAAAAUUAUUUUGACAUUUUGAAUUAAUAAUGCCAUGAAUGAUGAGAUUUUGGACAAUCUUGAAUGUUUGAUUUUCAUCUGGUAAUAGAUGCACUGUGAGAUAGAUUUUUUAAGUUAUGGUUCAGCUACCUCUAGGAAUGUGAAUAUUUAAGUGUUUCCUGCAGAGAAAAUGUUCAGUUCAUGGUAAUGAUUUUCAAGAAUUAAGAAUUUGGUCCCUCCUAAACUUUUUUGUGGGCUGUGACAAAGUGACACUUAAUAUUGUUGCAAUUGUUUUGUAUAACUAUACCUAUGAGAUGAGAUGAUGAGAUCAAAUACGUAAAAUACAAGUGAAAUUAUUUCAUCAACGUAACAAUUAAUAAAUAUUAAUUAUGGUCCUGCUUGACUUUAAUAGAUUGGAAACCAUUUUAAAUUAACGUGUUGAGUAAUUGUCCUCUCUCGAUCGGGGAGUGGACACUUAUUUGAUUUUUGGGUGGUAAUUAACACAUUGAGUUAUUUAAAAGUUGAUCAUCAGUCCAUUGAUUAUUAAUUGCAUUAUAUCCAUAUCCUAUGAUUUUCAAUUAACAUUUAAUCAAUUAUUGGGUUGGAUUGCACAUAAAGAUUUAAUACAAUUCUAUGGACUCCUGCAGGUUAUUGGUUUUCCCUUUAAAUGAUUCCUUUUUUAUAAGAAUCAUCUUUUUCACCCUUAUUUUUUUCAUAUAUCCAUUAUCCUUGAAAUACUUUGUUGUACAAAUUCAAUUUAAUUUGC